rnacentral:rRNA from 1 species
GACGAACGCUGGCGGCGUGCUUAACACAUGCAAGUCGAACGGAAAGGCCCUGCUUUUGUGGGGUGCUCGAGUGGCGAACGGGUGAGUAACACGUGAGUAACCUGCCCUUGACUUUGGGAUAACUUCAGGAAACUGGGGCUAAUACCGGAUAGGAGCUCCUGCUGCAUGGUGGGGGUUGGAAAGUUUCGGCGGUUGGGGAUGGACUCGCGGCUUAUCAGCUUGUUGGUGGGGUAGUGGCUUACCAAGGCUUUGACGGGUAGCCGGCCUGAGAGGGUGGCCGGCCACCUUGGGACUGAGAUACGGCCCAGACUCCUACGGGAGGCAGCAGUGGGGAAUAUUGCACAAUGGGCGGAAGCCUGAUGCAGCAACGCCGCGUGCGGGAUGACGGCCUUCGGGUUGUAAACCGCUUUCGCCUGUGACGAAGCGUGAGUGACGGUAAUGGGUAAAGAAGCACCGGCUAACUACGUG